GGAGGGGGCUGCCUGCGGGCUCUCUGCCCGCACUUCCUCCAUCCGCCGCCGGCAGCGGCCUCUGGAGGACUUACCCUUCUUGGGAUUUGAAGGCCGAAGCCAGGCUCUAGCGGGAACGGGGCCCUGCAGGGCCUGCGUCAGCUCCAGUUUAGGGCCCUCAGAGUCAUAGUUGGUGCAGCUACCAGCGCGUCACCCUCCCUCCGCCCCCCUCCGGCCCUCGUCCCGCCCUCAUUUCUCUGGAGGCAAAGGGCCUUUUAUCUCCCGGGAGGGUCUCACCUAGGCCUUCAAACGCCGGUCGGGCGGGGCUGGAAGGGCAGAAUUAGCGUAGAGGAAGGUGGGUCGGCCGCGUUCGGGCUGUAGCCCCGGGAAUCCUUGACAGGAAGUGUGGGGUUUGCUGCCCAGCCUCCCACGCAGUGUAGGUGAAACUGGGCCCCUUCGAGGGACUGUGACUAAGGACAAAACUCUGAUAAAUAUUAUGUGUGCGUCCUUGGGCCGAGAGGGAGAAAGCAAAAGGGGCGAGUUAAUUUUCAUAAAUUGCUAUGCAGAGAUUGAAACGCAAACUAUAAAAUGUCCUCUUAAGAGUUGCCUUGAAAUCUUAACAAGUUUAACAAGAUUUUUGGUGCACGGCAACUUUUUUCCUGGCUUCGUAUGCUGUCACAUCUUCAUUCUGCAACACUGCGUGCAUAGAAAGUGGAUCUGUUAAAAAUUAUUAGCUACAAAACAAAAAGAAAACUGCUUUCACCAUCUUUAUCAUUUUAAUUUCAGAGAAGUCAAUAAGCUUACUUUUCCAAUAAGCUUAUCUAAUUAACCUGCGAGUAGGUAUUGCCUGCCAUAUCAGGACUAGUUCUUGGGACCCACCACUGUUUACUGAUAUUCACCACUAUAUUGAUCAAGUUGCUGCUGAAGGAACACUGACUCCUGGAUAGCUUCCUCCAAGUGGGGGCUUUUUCUUUCUAUCAUGCAGAACACUUCAAGAAAAUGAGAAAACAAGCCACACACUGGGAAGAAACAUUUGCAAGACACAUCUCUGAUAAAGUAUUGGUAACCCCAAUAUGUAAAAGACUCUAAGAAAACAAGCAAUCCAAUAAAGAAAAAAAUGGGCAAAA